UUACGCUGUUAUCCCUAAGGUAAUUUAGUCUUAUAAUCCACAAAAAUGGAUCAAAUAUAUAUAAAUAAAUAUAAAAAAAUAAAAAGAGUUAAUUAAAUCUUUCCAUCACCCCAACAAAAUAAAUUUUCAAAUUAAAAAAAUAUCAUACAAAAAAAUAAAAAUAUAUAUAAACUCUAUAGGGUCUUCUCGUCCCAAAAAAAUAUUUAGGCAUUUUAACCUAAAAUUUAAAUUCAAUAAAUAAAUUAAAGACAGUUUACACCUCGUCAAACCAUUCAUUCCAGCCUACAAUUAAAAGACUAAUGAUUAUGCUACCUUUGCACGGUCAAAAUACCGCGGCCCUUCAAUACUCAGUGGGCAGGCCAUACAUCAAAAUAUAUUCAAGAAGAGAUGUUUUUGAUAAACAGGCG
rnacentral:rRNA from 2 species